UGGACAAACAGCUUUACAUCAUGCUGCUAAGUAUGGAAAUAUUGAUGUAACAAAAUGUUUAAUAGAUCAAGGAUGCAGUCCUUGGGUGAAAACACAUAAGGGUCAGACUCCUUAUGAUAUGGUAACAAUAUCACCGUUUUGUUCUAAAGAGAAGAAGAAAGAAGUGAUGGACUUCCUUAAGACUGUCAUGUCAAAGACAUCCCCAGAAGUAACUCCUGACACCAAUUUACAGGAACCUGCAGCACCAGUAGUUGAAG